GACCGCGUAGCUCAGUUGGAAGAGCAUUGGGUCUAGUAUUCCAAAGGUCGUAGGUUCGAAUCCCACCGUGGCCG